AAUUCGCGACCUCAACUCAUGUGUGACUACCCCCUGAAUUUAAGCAUAUUAAUUAGGGGAGGAAAAGAAACCAACAGGGAUUCCCUUAGUAGUGGCGAACGAAACGGGAUCAGCCCAUCACGUAGGAUCAUAGGCU
rnacentral:rRNA from 2 species